UGGGGAAUAUUGGUCAAUGGAGGCAACUCUGAACCAGCCAUGCCGCGUGCAGGAAGACUGCCCUAUGGGUUGUAAACUGCUUUUAUCCGGGAAUAAACCUUUCUACGUGUAGGAAGCUGAAUGUACCGGAAGAAUAAGGAUCGGCUAACUCCGUGCCAGCAGCCGCGGUAAUACGGAGGAUCCAAUCGUUAUCCGGAUUUAUUGGGUUUAAAGGGUGCGUAGGCGGCCUGUUAAGUCAGGGGUGAAAGACGGUAGCUCAACUAUCGCAGUGCCCUUGAUACUGAUGGGCUUGAAUUGACUAGAGGUAGGCGGAAUGAGACAAGGAGCGGUGAAA
rnacentral:rRNA from 1 species